rnacentral:rRNA from 1 species
UAGGGAAUCUUCGGCAAUGGACGAAAGUCUGACCGAGCAACGCCGCGUGAGUGAAGAAGGUUUUCGGAUCGUAAAACUCUGUUGUUAGAGAAGAACAAGGACGUUAGUAACUGAACGUCCCCUGACGGUAUCUAACCAGAAAGCCACGGCUAACUACGUGCCAGCAGCCGCGGUAAUACGUAGGUGGCAAGCGUUGUCCGGAUUUAUUGGGCGUAAAGCGAGCGCAGGCGGUUUCUUAAGUCUGAUGUGAAAGCCCCCGGCUCAACCGGGGAGGGUCAUUGGAAACUGGGGGACUUGAGUGCAGAAGAGGAGGGUGGAAUUCCAUGUGUAGCGGUGAAAUGCGUAGAUAUAUGGAGGAACACCAGUGGCGCAGGCGGCUCUCUGGUCUGUAACUGACGCUGAGGCUCGAAAGCGUGGGGAGCAAACAGG